rnacentral:rRNA from 1 species
GACGAACGCUGGCGGCGUGCCUAAUACAUGCAAGUCGAACGAGAGCAACCGGUGCUUGCACUGGUCAAUCUAGUGGCGAACGGGUGAGUAACACGUGGGUAACCUUCCCCUUCGGGGGGGAUAACAUCCGCAACGGGUUGUAAAACCCGCAAAGGCCUUCGAACGGCAUGGUUUGAAGGGGAAAAGGGGCGCAAGCUUCUGCGCAGGGUUGGACCCGCGGUGCAUUAGCAAGUUGGGGAGGUAACGGCUCACCAAGGCCGUGAUGCAUAGCCGACCUGAGAGGGUGAUCGGCCACAGUGCGACUGAGACACGGCCCAGACUCCUACGGGAGGCAGCAGUAGGGAAUCUUCCGCAAUGGACGCAAGUCUGACGGAGCAACGCCGCGUGAGUGAAGAAGGUUUUCGGAUCGUAAAACUCUGUUGUUAGAGAAGAACAAGUGCUAGAGUAACUGUUAGCGCCUUGACGGUAGCUAACCAGAAAGCCACGGCUAACUACGUG